AGAAUCAACGCUGGCGGCGUGCCUAACACAUGCAAGUCGAACGAGAAAGUGGAGCAAUCCACCAGUAAAGUGGCGCACGGGUGAGUAACACGUGACUAACCUACCCUUGAGUGGGGGAUAACCUAGGGAAACCUGGGCUAAUACCGCAUAAUACCUACGGGUCAAAGGAGCAAUUCGCUUAAGCGAGGGGGUCGCGGCCGAUUAGUUAGUUGGCGGGGUAAUGGCCCACCAAGACGAUGAUCGGUAUCCGGCCUGAGAGGGCGCACGGACACACUGGAACUGAAACACGGUCCAGACUCCUACGGGAGGCAGCAGUUAGGAAUUUUCGGCAAUGGACGAAAGUCUGACCGAGCGACGCCGCGUGGAGGAUGAAGCCUUUCGGGGUGUAAACUCCUUUUCUGCGGGAAGAUAAUGACGGUACCGCAGGAAUAAGCACCGGCUAACUACGCGCCAGCAGCCGC
rnacentral:rRNA from 1 species